rnacentral:miRNA from 14 species
UUUGUCCAGUACAUUUGGAAAACAUUUGAAUCGCUUCUCGGCCUUUUGGCUAAGAUCAAGUGUGGAAAACAUUUGAACAGUGUAG